UGGGGUAAUCAAUUACAUAAUAUAAUAUGUAGCAACAUUUUUAAUCAAUUCUACAUCUGUAUAGCUAGAUGAAAUAGAAACAAGCAAACGAGCAAGUGCUUUGCCUGAGUUCCAAGUUCGCCGAAUGUUUUGUGUCAGUGAUUAAUGAGUUUAGUUUAUGAAAUUUUUAGUAAAGCAUUCUAUUAUACCUUAGAUAGACAUCUAUUACACUUUUUCUCUAUUACAGAUUUUUUUUAUUUUUUUAUUUAUUCAGCACAUAAACUGUUUGUCAUUUUCUUUUU
rnacentral:lncRNA from 1 species